rnacentral:rRNA from 1 species
UACGUAGGGUGCAAGCGUUGUCCGGAAUUAUUGGGCGUAAAGGGCUCGUAGGCGGCUUGUCACGUCGGGUGUGAAAGCCCGGGGCUUAACCCCGGGUCUGCAUUCGAUACGGGCUAGCUAGAGUGUGGUAGGGGAGAUCGGAAUUCCUGGUGUAGCGGUGAAAUGCGCAGAUAUCAGGAGGAACACCGGUGGCGAAGGCGGAUCUCUGGGCCAUUACUGACGCUGAGGAGCGAAAGCGUGGGGAGCGAACAGG